AAUAGCCACUGGAAACGGUGAGUAAUACCUUAUACGCCCUUCGGGGGAAAGAUUUAUCCGGAGAAGGAUCGGCCCGCGUUAGAUUAGAUAGUUGGUGGGGUAACGGCCUACCAAGUCUACGAUCUAUAGCUGGUUUUAGAGGAUGAUCAGCAACACUGGGACUGAGACACGGCCCAGACUCCUACGGGAGGCAGCAGUGGGGAAUCUUGGACAAUGGGCGCAAGCCUGAUCCAGCCAUGCCGCGUGAGUGAUGAAGGCCUUAGGGUCGUAAAGCUCUUUCGCUGGGGAUGAUAAUGACAGUACCCAGUAAAGAAACCCCGGCUAACUCCGUGCCAGCAGCCGCGGUAAUACGGAG
rnacentral:rRNA from 1 species